rnacentral:tRNA from 1 species
UGUUAGAGCGCACCCCUGAUAAGGGUGAGGUCCCUGGUUCAAGUCCAGGAUGGCCCACCUAACCGAACAAGGGGGUAUAGCUCAGUUGGUAGAGCGCUGCCUUUGCAAGGCAGAAGUCAGCGGUUCGAGUCCGCUUACCUCCAGGCCAGGAAAUGUUCAGAACUCAGCAACUAGACCUGAAUUGUUCAAGUCAUGCUGCUGGGCUACUAAUGUCCAGCCAGAACCUUGAAAACUGCAUAGUCAAUCAGUCAAAGUCACUCAAAGAGAGGUUAGUCAAUAGCUAACCAUUUCAUGAGGUGCAGAAAGU